AUGCUCACUUCGGCAGCAUAUAUACUAAAAACUGGAACAAUACAGAGAAGAUUAGCAUGGCCCCUGGGCAAAGAUGACAUGCAAAUUCGUGAAGCAUUCCAUAUUUUU
rnacentral:snRNA from 1 species